rnacentral:rRNA from 1 species
UACGUAGGGGGCAAGCGUUGUCCGGAAUCAUUGGGCGUAAAGCGCGCGUAGGCGGCCCUGUAAGUCCGUUGUGAAAGUCAAAGGCUCAACCUUUGAAUGCCGAUGGAUACUGCAGGGCUAGAGUCCGGAAGAGGCGAGUGGAAUUCCUGGUGUAGCGGUGGAAUGCGCAGAUAUCAGGAGGAACACCAAUAGCGAAGGCAGCUCGCUGGGACGGUACUGACGCUAAGGCGCGAAAGCGUGGGGAGCGAACAGG